ensembl:lncRNA
GGGAGCAGAGUUAAUGGAGCAGUACUAAACUAACUGGUGGUGUUAAGGGGAGCAGAGUUAAUGGAGCAGUACUGAACUAACGGGUGGUGUUAGGGGGAGCAGAGUUAAUGGAGCAGUACAGAACUAACGGGUGGUGUUAGGGGGAGAAGACAGACUGUUGGUUUAAUGGCUGUAGACUAGAGGACUGGCUGGUGAUGAUACUCAAAGGUGAUUUCACUCUGCAUCCUCCUGCUCUCUCUCCAUCUCUUGCUCCUUCUCCCCCCAUUAUUUUCUCUCCUCUCUUCUCCUCCUUCCUUAGGGGCAGACUGGUAUAAAGUUACAGGGCUCUCAGCUUUCUUGGAAGGAAUGACCACAUGUGUAGCUUGGGGAUUAGAUUAGCAGGAAGAGCAGACUUAGCCGGACUGGAAAUAGACCACUUUUUCACUGUUAAAAAGGCCCAGUACAAUAUAAUCAAUAGACGGCACUCAUCUGCUGUGGGGAGAGGAGCAGGAAGCCAUCGGAGAAGGCCUCCCUCAAGUGCGCCGUGAAGGACUGGCUACAGGGAGCUCAUGCUUAAUGAAGUUAUUAUUAAUAAUCACUGCGAUGCCUGUUUUGGACUUGUGUUGUGUCUCUAGUGGGUGAAGUGGUCUUUAUGUACAAAACCCGAUCUGCCCUCUCUUUGUAUGUCUGGAACUUAACCACUGAUGACUAGACUUCAUUUUCUGUUAAUGUAAGUGCAUAGCACAUUAGUAAAUGCCAUAUUAAUGACCAUGUAUAUAUUAUGCUUAGCAGUUGGUUUUUAGAUAUUAGUCUAUUUUCCAUAUAUUGUAUAUCAUGGAAACUCACGAGGAAAAACAAUGUUAAAUACACACUGACACGCAUGCAAACUGCCAAAAAGAAAUGCUCCAUAAACACAUACUCCAACACACGUAUUCCACACACACACACACACACACCACCUCCUCCCUCCCAGUUUCACUCUGAGCCUCCCCACAGGUGUUGGGUUACUCUGUAAAGUAGACUGAACCGGAGCACAAAUCAGAGGGCUGUCUGUGCUCUCGCUUCCUAUUUCACUUUGAAGUUUCCCUGGCUCUCAGGGACAGGGGGCACAAAGCCUGACUCGUGUGGGGGCUUUAGCACUUUCUGCUGGGGCUGAGAGUGUGGGAAAGGAGGGGGGUGAGUGUGUGCUGUCUUUGUUGCUUUGGACCUCAGUCGCUUGAGGACUAUGUUAGCUUAGUAGCCAGAGACUGUAGAACCCACUGAGGGAGGCCAAGAGGAGGAGGGAGGAGAGUUGUUCCCCUAGUGCCCACUGAGCUAACUGACAGUCCAGGACCUG